GAUCGUUGAAGAAGAAGAGAAAGACCACCAAAGCAUCAACUGAGGAAAGCAUAGUACCUUUUGAUGAUGCAGAACUAGCAUCCUCUAUGACUUUUCCAUCAAGCCAUAGUGUAGAACAUACAAUACAACUAAGAAAAGUAGAGAUGGUACAUCAGAUUCUGGAGGCUCAAUCAGGUACACUACCGCAGAAAAUGUUUAUAGGGGUGGGUAGAAUGGCAUCUUCAGGGAUGGGCGCGCGACCCAUCCAUGUCUCCAGCAGCUAGAAAUCGAGCUUUAUAGGGGCGGGUACAGGGCCCACCCCUGAAAAUCAAUUUCCAGGGGCGGGCCAUGGCACCACCCACCCCUGGAAACCCAUUUUCAGGGGCGGCCCACCCCGUGAGCCGCCCCUGCAAAUGAUUUUUCCAAGGGCGGCUCAAAGCAUGAGCCGCUCCUGAAAUUCAAUUCCCGCCAAGCCAAAAUUUGAAAUUACAUUCAUAUUUCUGUUUCCCUCUGUAUUUAAUUAUUCUAAUUUAUGUUUC